CUACGGGAGGCAGCAGUGAGGAAUAUUGCACAAUGGGGGGAACCCUGAUGCAGCAACGCCGCGUGGAGGAUGACGCAUUUCGGUGUGUAAACUCCUUUUAUAUGUCAAGAAAAUGACGGUAGCAUAUGAAUAAGCACCGGCUAACUCCGUGCCAGCAGCCGCGGUAAUACGGAGGGUGCAAGCGUUACUCGGAAUCACUGGGCGUAAAGGACGCGUAGGCGGGUUGGAAAGUCAGGUGUGAAAUCCUACAGCUUAACUGUAGAACCGCACUUGAAACUUCUAAUCUAGAGUAUGGGAGGGGGAGAUGGAAUUAGUGGUGUAGGGGUAAAAUCCGUAGAUACCACUAGGAAUACCUAAAGCGAAGGCGAUCUCCUGGAACAUUACUGACGCUAAGGCGUGAAAGCGUGGGGAGCAAACAGGAUUAGAUACCCUUGUAGUC
rnacentral:rRNA from 1 species